GUGUCCUACGGGGGGCAGCAGUGAGGAAUAUUGGUCAAUGGGCGCGAGCCUGAACCAGCCAAGUCGCGUGAGGGAUGACGGCCCUACGGGUUGUAAACCUCUUUUGCCGGGGAGCAACGGGCGCCACGUGUGGCGCCACUGAGAGUACCCGGAGAAAAAGCAUCGGCUAACUCCGUGCCAGCAGCCGCGGUAAUACGGAGGAUUCAAGCGUUAUCCGGAUUUAUUGGGUUUAAAGGGUGCGUAGGCGGUCGGAUAAGUUAGAGGUGAAAUCCCGAGGCUCAACUUCGGAAUUGCCUCUGAUAAUG
rnacentral:rRNA from 1 species